rnacentral:hammerhead_ribozyme from 1 species
GCACUGCUGUCGAGUCCCGAACAGGACGAAACAGCUGUCCAGUGC